rnacentral:misc_RNA from 1 species
AAGUCGUAACAAGGUUUCCGUAGGUGAACCUGCGGAAGGAUCAUUACUUGAUAUCAAUGCUACCACAAAGCAGCAUUUGAUUUCAAACACAAAACACCAAUCUGUGCUCUUCUUUUCUUUUUCCACUCCGCACUCCAAAGGCAGCUUUUUUGGGCUGUCCAUUUUUCAUCGACUGAGUCUGUUGAGUGUGGAAUGCAUAAUUCCCUCUCAUCUGUGGACAGCUUAACUAAUUCUUAAGUUGUUCCACUUUUGUAACAAUCCAUACUGUUACUCAGCUAUCAACACACAUUUAACACUGUGUGCUGUAGCUGAUUACACAUUAAUGGAAGCAAACACAACUCCUAACAAUGGAUAUCUCGGCUCUC